UUUUUUGUGGUUGAAAUCAUAGUUAGUUAAUUCGGAUUCAGCAAUAAAUCGGUACGGGUAUAAUACAUAUAAAAUUUAUUUUUUAAUUUUUAAAUUCGUUGAAAAAUUUGGCUUAAAAAAUGAAUUUGGUAUAAAUUAUAAAAUAUAAGAUAUAAAAUAUAAAAUAAUCUAUAUUUAAACAUAAAAAUUAUAAGUUUUUUAUUUAGAUUUUCAAUAAUUUGGAAAUAAUUAGCGAAUUAUUCGGCUGGCCUAAAAAUUUGCGAAUAAUUUUUUUUCUUUGGUAAAAAUUUAUAAACGAACCGUUUAAUUCGGAUUUUCAAUAAUUCGCGAAUAAUUCACAAAUUAACUAACAAAGGUUGAAACUCCUUCUAC
rnacentral:lncRNA from 1 species